rnacentral:rRNA from 1 species
UACGGGGGGGGGCAAGCGUUGUUCGGAAUUACUGGGCGUAAAGGGCUCGUAGGUGGCCAACUAAGUCGGACGUGAAAUCCCUCGGCUUAACCGGGGAACUGCGUCUGAUACUGGAUGGCUUGAAUUCGGGAGAGGGAUGCAGAAUUCCAGGUGUAGCGGUGAAAUGCGUAGAUAUCUGGAGGAAUACCGGUGGCGAAGGCGGCAUCCUGGACCGACAUUGACGCUGAUGAGCGAAAGCUAGGGGAGCAAACGGG